GCUGGCCGGCCCACCCUGUCUCAGCCGCCCCAGGAGAGCGCUCAGGCCGCCGAGUGGCCGGCUGGGAAGUGCACCGUCAGCAGGCCCGGGCCUGGGCUCUGCGGAGUCAGCACUGGGCUCCCCACCUCUGCCUCUUACCCACCGCCCCCAGGCCUGCCCCGCCCACCCGCCGCAGUCUGCCCGAGCUGGCCCAAACGGUGGGUGCCUGCUGCCUCCUCUCCCAGGGAUGGGAUUGUGGACCCAUUAUACAGAUGAGGAUGCCAAGGCUCAGAGGGGCAAACUGACCGACCCAAGGACUCAACCAGGAAUGGCAGAGCCGAUCCAACUCAGAUGCGAAUUGGGGGUGCUGCUUUUCUGGUCGCAUUCACAUUAAAACCAAGAGACCAGGACAUAUGAGACCAGCAUCAGAGCCUGAAGGAGCUAAGAGAAAAGCUGUCCGUGUUGGAGUUGAGACAGAGAUGGGGAAACAGGUGAAGCCACUGGCGGGAGUGUGGUUCAGUGGCCUUCCCUGACAGGAAGGCGAGAGCGCGAACGCAGACUGUUCUCGCCGUCUGGCUCAGCUGCCCAU